rnacentral:rRNA from 1 species
GACGAACGCUGGCGGCGUGCUUAACACAUGCAAGUCGAGCGGUAAGGCCCUUUCGGGGGUACACGAGCGGCGAACGGGUGAGUAACACGUGGGUGACCUGCCCUCAGCUCUGGGAUAAGCCUGGGAAACCGGGUCUAAUACUGGAUAUGACUCCAUGACGCAUGUUGUGGGGUGGAAAGCCUUGUGCGGCUGAGGAUGGGCCCGCGGCCUAUCAGCUUGUUGGUGGGGUGANGGCCUACCAAGGCGACGACGGGUAGCCGGCCUGAGAGGGCGACCGGCCACACUGGGACCGAGACACGGCCCAGACUCCUACGGGAGGCAGCAGUGGGGAAUCUUGCGCAAUGGGCGAAAGCCUGACGCAGCGACGCCGCGUGAGGGAUGACGGCCU